AACCUUAUGGACCUGCGGGCGUAUACCUGCGGAAGGAUCAUUACCGAGUGAGGGCCUUUGGGCUCGACCUCCCACCCUUUGUUGUCUGACCGCGUUGCUUCGGGGUUGUCGUCUUUGGCGGCGCCCCGGAGGACCGUCCAAACUCUUGCAUCUCUGCGUCUGAGUCUUGUUAUUUAAAAUGACAUGAAAACUUUUAACAAUGGAUCU
rnacentral:misc_RNA from 1 species